AGAGUUUGAUUCUGGCUCAGGAUGAACGCUGCGCGGCGUGCCUAAUACAUGCAAGUCGAACGCGCAGCGAGAGGUGCUUGCACCUUUCAAGCGAGUGGCGAACGGGUGAGUAACACGUGGAUAACCUGCCUCAAGGCUGGGGAUAACAUUUGGAAACAGAUGCUAAUACCGAAUAAAACUUAGUAUCGCAUGAUAUAAAGUUAAAAGGCGCUACGGCGUCACCUAGAGAUGGAUCCGCGGUGCAUUAGUUAGUUGGUGGGGUAAAGGCUUACCAAGACAAUGAUGCAUAGCCGAGUUGAGAGACUGAUCGGCCACAUUGGGACUGAGACACGGCCCAAACUCCUACGGGAGGCUGCAGUAGGGAAUCUUCCACAAUGGGCGCAAGCCUGAUGGAGCAACGCCGCGUGUGUGAUGAAGGCUUUCGGGUCGUAAAGCACUGUUGUAUGGGAAGAAAUGCUAAAAUAGGGAAUGAUUUUAGUUUGACGGUACCAUACCAGAAAGGGACGGCUAAAUACGUGCCAGCAGCCGCGGUAAUACGUAUGUCCCGAGCGUUAUCCGGAUUUAUUGGGCGUAAAGCGAGCGCAGACGGUUGAUUAAGUCUGAUGUGAAAGCCCGGAGCUCAACUCCGGAAUGGCAUUGGAAACUGGUUAACUUGAGUGUUGUAGAGGUAAGUGGAACUCCAUGUGUAGCGGUGGAAUGCGUAGAUAUAUGGAAGAACACCAGUGGCGAAGGCGGCUUACUGGACAACAACUGACGUUGAGGCUCGAAAGUGUGGGUAGCAAACAGGAUUAGAUACCCUGGUAGUCCACACCGUAAACGAUGAAUACUAGGUGUUAGGAGGUUUCCGCCUCUUAGUGCCGAAGCUAACGCAUUAAGUAUUCCGCCUGGGGAGUACGACCGCAAGGUUGAAACUUAAAUGAUGACGGAAG
rnacentral:rRNA from 1 species